UGAUAGAUUGGUGGGCAUCUCUUUAGUCUC
rnacentral:piRNA from 1 species